AAGACUAUACUUUCAGGGAUCAUUUCUAUAGUUUGUUACCACACAUUUAAAGAAGAAUUAAUACCCACCAGGGGAAAAGGAAACCAAAGCUGGA
ensembl:snoRNA U3 Small nucleolar RNA U3